AGGUUACUGCUAUCGGUGUUCGCCUAAGCCAUGCGAGUCAUAUGUUCUUCGUGAACAUGGCGUACUGCUCAGUAACACGUGGAUAACCUGCCCUUGGGUCCGGCAUAACCCCGGGAAACUGGGGAUAAUUCCGGAUAACGCACAUAUGCUGGAAUGCUUUAUGCGUCAAAUGGAUUCGUCCGCCCAAGGAUGGGUCUGUGGCCUAUCAGGUAGUAGUGGGUGUAAUGUACCUACUAGCCUACGACGGGUACGGGUUGUGAGAGCAAGAACCCGGAGAUGGAUUCUGAGACAUGAAUCCAGGCCCUACGGGGCGCAGCAGGCGCGAAAACUUUACAAUGCGGGAAACCGUGAUAAGGGGACACCGAGUGCCAGCAUCAUAUGCUGGCUGUCCGGGUGUGUAAAAUACACCUGUUAGCAAGGGCCGGGCAAGACCGGUGCCAGCCGCCGCGGUAACACCGGCGGCCCGAGUGGUGAUCGUGAUUAUUGGGUCUAAAGGGUCCGUAGCCGGUUUGGUCAGUCCUCCGGGAAAUCUGACGGCUUAACCGUUAGGCUUUCGGGGGAUACUGCCAGACUUGGAACCGGGAGAGGUAAGAGGUACUACAGGGGUAGGAGUGAAAUCUUGUAAUCCCUGUGGGACCACCUGUGGCGAAGGCGUCUUACCAGAACGGGUUCGACGGUGAGGGACGAAAGCUGGGGGCACGAACCGGAUUAGAUACCCGGGUAGUCCCAGCCGUAAACGAUGCUCGCUAGGUGUCAGGCAUGGCGCGACCGUGUCUGGUGCCGCAGGGAAGCCGUGAAGCGAGCCACCUGGGAAGUACGGCCGCAAGGCUGAAACUCAA
rnacentral:rRNA from 1 species